rnacentral:tRNA from 2 species
CGGCAUUUGGUCUAGUGGUAUGAUUCUCGCUUUGGGUGUGAGAGGUACCAAGUUCGAUUCUCGGAAUGCCCC